rnacentral:rRNA from 1 species
AAAUGAAUUGACGGGGGCCCGCACAAGCAGUGGAUUAUGUGGUUUAAUUCGAAGCAACGCGAAGAACCUUACCAGGGUUUGACAUCCCGGUGACCGUCCUAGAGAUAGGAUUUCCCUUCGGGGCACCGGUGACAGGUGGUGCAUGGUUGUCGUCAGCUCGUGUCGUGAGAUGUUGGGUUAAGUCCCGCAACGAGCGCAACCCUUAUUGAUAGUUGCUACGCAAGAGCACUCUAUCGAGACUGCCGUUGACAAAACGGAGGAAGGUGGGGACGACGUCAAAUCAUCAUGCCCCUUAUAUCCUGGGCUACACACGUAAUACAAUGGCACUUAACAAAGGGAAGCAAAACCGCGAGGUGGAGCAAAUCCUCAAAAAGUGUCCCAGUUCGGACUGCAGUCUGCAACUCGACUGCACGAAGUCGGAAUUGCUAGUAAUCGCGGAUCAGCAUGCCGCGGUGAAUACGUUCCCGGGCCUUGUACACACCGCCCGU